AGGCCUAACACAUGCAAGUCGAGCGAGAAAAUUCCUUCGGGAAUGAUUAAAGCGGCGGACGGGUGCGUACAACAUGGAUAACCUACCAUAAGGACCGGGAUAACCUCGGGAAACCGAAGCUAAUACCGGAUAAGACCACAUUAUCUGCGGAUAAAGGGGUAAAAUGUUUUUCGCCUUUUGAUGGGUCCAUGCUCCAUCAGGUUGUUGGUGAGGUAAAGCUCACCAAGCCGAAGACGGAUAGCCGGCCUUAGCGGGUGAUCGGCCACACGGGGACUGAGACACGGCCCCGACUCCUACGGGAGGCAGCAGUGGGGAAUAUUGGGCAAUGGGCGAAAGCCUGACCCAGCCAUGCCGCGUGAAGGAUGAAGGCCUUCGGGUCGUAAACUUCUGUCAGUAGGGACGAUGGGACUUCGGUCUUGACGGUACCUACAGAGGAAGCCCCGGCUAACUCCGUGCCAGCAGCCGCGGUAAUACGGAGGGGGCAAGCGUUGCUCGGAUUUACUGGGCGUAAAGGGUCCGCAGGCGGUUGAGCAAGUUAGAUGUGAAAGCUCAAGGCUUAACCUUGGAAUUGCAUCUAAAACUGCUCGACUAGAGUCCAAGAGGGGUCGGCGGAAUUCCCGGUGUAGCGGUGAUAUGCGUAGAUAUCGGGAGGAACACCAGUGGCGAAGGCGGCCGACUGGCUUGGAACUGACGCUCAGGGACGAAAGCGUGGGUAGCGAACCGGAUUAGAUACCCGGGUAGUCCACGCCC
rnacentral:rRNA from 1 species